rnacentral:lncRNA from 1 species
AUAAACUUAAAACUUAAAGAAAUUAAAAAUAGUUAACAAAAUAUACUUUAGAAUGAUGAAAAUAGAUAAGAAAUAAGUAAAGAAAUGAGUAAAUCUAAGAAAAUAAAUUUAUUUUACAAAUCUAACAAGAAAAUAAUAAAAAUUGUAUUAAAAAUAAAACUUACAAUCUUUAGAAUACAUGACUUGAUGUCGACCUCUAGGUUCCACUUCUUAAUUUUGCAUUCAGUUUAACAAAAUAAAUUUAAGGUGAGAAGGUUAGAGGAGAAUGAUCAAAAUCAAUGAUGUAUUUUUCAAAUCUCUAUUUUCACAUUAAAAAAGAGUAACAAUAUUUUUUUCUCAAGAAUAACCAAAGAUAAUUUGAAAAAGGC